rnacentral:rRNA from 1 species
CGGAGGGUGCAAGCGUUAUCCGGAUUCACUGGGUUUAAAGGGUGCGUAGGUGGACAGGUAAGUCAGUGGUGAAAUCUCCAAGCUUAACUUGGAAACUGCCGUUGAUACUAUCUGUCUUGAAUAUCGUGGAGGUAAGCGGAAUAUGUCAUGUAGCGGUGAAAUGCUUAGAUAUGACAUAGAACACCGAUUGCGAAGGCAGCUUACUACACGAUCAUUGACACUGAGGCACGAAAGCGUGGGGAGCAAACAGGAUU